CCCCGUACACAGUUGUAUAUCUUAGUUGCAGGUCCUUCCAGUUGUGGGAUGUGGGACGCCACCUAAACGCGGCCUGAGGAGCGGUGCCAUGUCUGCGCCCAGGAUCCGAACCCUGGGCCGCCGUAGCAGAGCACGUGAACUUAACCACUCGGCCACGGAGCCGGUCCCUCAGAACUUAUUCUUGAAAGAACAGUUCCUCAAGAAGCAUUAUUAUAUAGUUGCAAUAGAAGUUUUCAAAUUGUUUAUAAUCCCAUUAUUUUCCAUUAAUGACUAAAAUCAUUUAUUCUCAGAAAAUUUUGGAAAUUUGUAUCAAUUUCUGGUACUUUCUAUACUUUCAGAAAAUACAAUAGCUUGUUAGCGAAUACAAGCAUCUCAUUUUUAUUAAGAUAAUUUCGUGACCCAAUUCUAUAUUUUCACAAAUGCCAGCAAUGUGAAUAUCAUAAAGCCAUUCAUGUAGCCCACACACAUUUGUAAGGAGAAUACUCUUACCCUCUUUUUUCUCUCCCACACCAAAUAGCAAGGCAUGACUGUGUCUGAAAAGUUGAAAGCAUUUGCUUACAAAAUGUCAUUUAAUCUAAAACUGUGUCAGUUCCUCUCCUCCCUAGAGCUUAGAAAGUUAACAAGUGUUUGGUUAUGAUCUCAAGGUUUUAAUUGCAGAAACAGAAUCAGUGUAAUUUCAGAGAGCAGCCGACAGGUGUGGAAUUUCUCUUUUCAGUCCUUGUUACUAUCAACAAAAGUUAGGGAACUCCCUGCAUUAUUAAUUCAUAUAGAGUUUAACUGAAGGCCUGUAGCUUUACUUGAGUAAUACUGCCCAGCAAACGUAUUGGGCAGUAUUUAAGAUAUUGCAAGAUAACAACCAUGCCAUUAUUCCUGUGCCUCAUGAAAGAAGUCUCCAGACGGCAAAGCCAGGCUUAAAUAACUUCUGAAGGUGGAAGAAGGGCCAGUCUACAUUAUAGUAAUCUAAAUGGCCCUUUCAAUUUAAUAAUGUGCUGCUAACGUGAGUAAGCAUGCUACUGCCAUCCACUAUUGGGGACAGAGAUCUGCAAGCUUCACCAGUUUCCAGAAAAAAAGUUCCAGCAAACUAGUUAGGGAUCCUAAUUUUGUUUUGAAAUCUGCCUCAUUUUUUUUCCUGGUAAAAUAUAGAUAGUUCUCAAAUUUCUUCCUAGUAAAAUAAAAGUAACUGUAGCAAAACAUCAUUCAUGCUGUCAUAUAAAUCUAUGAAACAAGUAAUGCAUGUUAUAUCGAAUGGAUUUAUGCGACCCUAAUUCCAAACACUUUUUAAAAAAUUACUCCGUGACAGGAGAAGAGGCCUCCGUUUGCAGCAGUACUGUUGUGGAGGCGCUGUGCGUCGGGGAGGGAGUUUCAGCCCCAGCGCCUCAUCAGGAAGUCACAGAGCCCUAAGGUGAUUUUUCCAGCCGUCACACUCAGAGCAGUUCCAUCAUCACACUCAGAGCAGUUCCAUCACCACACUCAGAGCAGUUCCGUCACCACACUCAGAGCAGUUCCGUCAUCACACUCAGAGCAGUUCCAUCAUCACACUCAGAGCAGUUCCAUCACCACACUCAGAGCAGUUCCGUCACCACACUCAGAGCAGUUCCAUCAUCACACUCAGAGCAGUUCCAUCAUCACACUCAGAGCAGUUCCAUCACCACACUCAGAGCAGUUCCGUCACCACACUCAGAGCAGUUCCAUCAUCACACUCAGAGCAGUUCCAUCAUCACACUCAGAGCAGUUCCAUCACCACACUCAGAGCAAUUCCGUGUGAGGACAAACUAAUAGCUGAUUUCAACCAGUAGUUACUUAGUAGAUCAGUAUGGAUUUGCUUCAAGAUUUCUAGAUAUCAGAGUUUUGUUUUUUGGUAAAAAUAACUGCUUUUGUCUAAGUACUUGAAUGUGACAGUGAUUUUUUUAGGUAAUAAUUGCAAGGAAACAUUCCUUUUUUAUUAAAAUCAUUUUUUUAGUAUAAAAUGAACAUGUUCAGGGGCUGGCCCCGUGGCCGAGUGGUUAAGUUCGCGCGCUCCGCUGCAGGCGGCCCAGUGUUUCGUUGGUUCGAAUCCUGGGCGCGGACAUGGCACUGCUCAUCAGACCACGCUGAGGCAGCGUCCCACAUGCCACAACUAGAAGAACCCACAACGAAGAAUACACAACCAUGUACUGGGGGGCUUUGGGGAGAAAAAGGAAAAAAUAAAAAAAUCUUUAAAAAAAAAAUGAACAUGUUCAUUGUAGAAACUUCAGAAAACAUAAACUUUAAAAGAUGAAAUCUAAAUAUUACCCAUAAUUCAUUCAGUCAAAAAUCAUGUUUAUGUAUAUGAGGGAUUGUUGUUAUUAUUUCUCAGUCUUGCAAUAACAAGUUAGCCAAAGCACAACUAUUAAUAGAACUUAAGUCUAUUGAACCACUGAGCACAGCACUUCUGGAUUUUCCUUAGCGGAAACUAUUGGUGAUAAUAGGUUAUAGAGAAUGUUCCAGUAAUACUUGCUAUAUUAGUAAAUAUUGAUUAGUGCUGUAGAGAGAGCAACUAUGCCUAAUCAUAUCAACACUUAGCUGAUCACAGUUUAUGACAGAUAAAUUUUUGAUGUCUUAGGAAAAAGCACUGAAGCUAUUUUAUUUGGAAUUAUUUUUAAUGUUUUCUAAUUGCUGACCAAAUGGUAGAGAAAAGAUUGUAAGCUCUUUAGAGGGCAGGAAAAGUGCCAUGCAGGGCCCAGUACAAAUUUGGCAUUCUGUAAAUAUUUGUUGACGACAAAUGCUCUUUAUUCUUAUAUAAUUAUGAUAAUUUCCUCAGAACUUAAUAUAAUUGGCUAUAGGGGAAAAUACGUGGCCAAAAUUUUUAUAAAAUUAUUUUGUACUACUGGUUCAGUAUUCAAUUUUGAUUGAAUAAAUAUAUUAUUAGCAAUAAUAAAGGGUUUGAAAGCUUUUCUUAGUAUAUUUUUAAUCUGAAUUUUUACUAUAAAAAGAUAUAAAAUUACUUUUGACUCGUGUCCUUCAGAAAAACACACUUCUUUAAAUCACACACCGUCAAAGGGAAGGAAUAUGACAACAGCGGGAAAAUAUGGUUGACUUUUUAGACAUCUCAUGAUCAUUUAGUUAAUGAUAACACACAAACGAGAUUGCUAUUUCUGUAUGUUUGAAAGGCCAGCGUGCAAUAAAUGUUGC
ensembl:lncRNA